rnacentral:misc_RNA from 1 species
GGGGAAGAGGGUGACGUGUAACAGAAUCGGGGGGCGAAGGCGAUAUAUACAGUACAAUGCAACUACAUACAUGCACUGACGCCGUUACUUUACUCAUAUUCAUACUUUUAUCUUGUUUUGAUCAAAGCCUUGUACAUAUCUCUUUCUUCUCAUCUUUACCACCCUGCAUACUCCUCUAAAUCUUGCCUAGGAUCACAGCAGAGUGGAAGAGAGAAGCAUCUCAGAUUCUUUAAGAGUCUCCAAUUUCAUGUUCGAUCAAGAGGAGAAUUCAUAGGAUGAAAAAAUGGCUGCUCCAAUAAGCAUAAAUCCUAAAUCCCAAAUAUUCAGAAAUCAGAAGCGCAUCAAAGGUGGCAGGGCACGACAGAGCCAGAACCAAAAAAAAACCCGACUCCCAAAACACCUAAAAGGCCAAAACCAAAGAUUUCAAUCCCAUAUCCAAAAUCUAUGAAAAAUCAACCAAAACAUAUCAAUUUGAAAAAUUUUAAAAAUAAUAAUAAAAUAA